rnacentral:rRNA from 1 species
UACGUAGGGGGCAAGCGUUGUCCGGAUUUAUUGGGCGUAAAGCGCGUGUAGGCGGCCAGAUAGGUCUGCUGUGAAAACUCGAGGCUCAACCUCGAGCUGUCGGCGGAAACCAUCUGGCUAGAGUCCGGAAGAGGAGAGUGGAAUUCCUGGUGUAGCGGUGAAAUGCUUAGAUAUGACAUAGAACAUCGAUUGCGAAGGCAGCUCGCUACGCUAUUAUUGACACUGAGGCACGAAAGCGUGGGGAUCAAACAGG